GGCGGGUCUCCCCGCAUGGCUAUAUCGUGAAUCGGGUCAGGUCCGGAAGGAAGCAGCCCCAGCGAUGGAUGCCAGUGCCGGGGUAAGGCUCGCCACU
rnacentral:SRP_RNA from 1 species